ACCGGAACUGCUCCGGGUCUGGAGCUGCCAGGCCUCCCGGGAGGGGCGGGGCCUCCCAGCCUGGCUCCCGCGGACCCGCCCCCUCCCCGGGGGGCUCCUCGAUAACCCUUGUGGUCCCGGCCCCCAGGUGAUGGCUGGCACCCCUUAUUUUAGCUGCUGUUAGGAUUGUUCCUCUCCAGCCACCUAAUUCUAGGGCGGCUCCGAGAAUCCGGUGUAGCCGAGCCUAGAGUGUUCACCCGGCCGGCCGACUGUCCCGCCCGCUUAUCCCCACUCGCGUAAAAGUGCAGUUGACAUCCAUCGAAGGCUUUCUGCGCGGUAGACAGCGCUUCGGCUGCGUUAACUAUUUCAAUAACCUUCAAACUCCUGGAAAUCGGUGCUAUUCUCUACACCUUACAGAGAAGGAAACCGGCCAGGCAAUGGAUGCAAACUAACACGAUAUAAGAUUGACACCAGAAACCAGCAUCUGUAGUCAAAUUGUGCUGCCAUAGAAAAAUGGAAGACAAGGUAUGAGGGUGAGGAGCCCAGCAACACAGCAGCUUUCUAAAUGGUGACUGUGGAGAGAUGCCAAGGAUGUAGAAUGGUGCCAAGUAUAGAAUCCUGGAGUUGCUCCCUAAACCAGCAGAAACUCAUGUGCAAAGUGUAUUUCACGGAGGCCGAGUAUCUCACCUACAAAGAUAGAACGCAUGUGCAGAUAAUAUUGGGGAGCAGGGAACAAAACGUUUCCUGAGACAGCAAGAAAACGUCUCUGAGGAAAAAGUCGUAGGAGACUUCAAAACACAAAACACAAAACCUUUGGAGAAGGAAGAAAGGAGAAUUAAGCAAGAAGUCCUAGCUACACAUAUUUAAGAUGUUUCUCUUAUAGUAAAUUAAUGCCCAAACUUUUAUUACUCCUACAGCAAGCUGAAUGGACUUAAAAAGAUACAUACAUAUGUUGAAAUCCAAAGUUAUUCCUAAUUUGAAAGAUGUUCAAUUUGAGAUAUCACUGGAUCUAAACCACUGCAAAUCUUUAUUACAUGCUUAUUGUGUGCACCAGGCACAGGACGUUACAGAGAAGACCAAGAACUCUGAGUUCCUCGAGAGAAUAAAAAUGCCAGUUGUGGAGAUGAGUUGUAGGCUCUUAGAAAGAGCAGUAAGGCUGUGCAGUGAAUCUCGUGAUAAAUGCAAAAUGAGUAACAGAGUUGUUAAUUUGGGGAGGCCAACUCAAUCAUUCAAGAUCUUAAGACCAACUCUCAGAUGGAACUUAACAUUUGUAAAACAUGUAGGAAACUCAGGGACAUCAAAGGAUCUCAGCAAUUUUUUUUUUUUUUUAAGUAUGGCUGUAAGAAACUUCAAAACACAACUAGUAAUCUCCCUGCCUCAGUCUCCCAAGACCUGGGAUGAUAGGCACGUUUCACCACACCUGGCCUUCCAAGUGAUUUCAGAGCAAUAUGAGUCCCUAUGGACUACUGUGGCAAGAUCUCCAAGACAGGCUGUUCUAGUAUUUCCCCUCAGUGUCUUAAAUGAGAAAUACCCAGAGCUCCAUCCUUUGUCUUCUUCAUCUAUAUUCCCUCCAUAGGUGAUCUCAUCCAGUUUCAAAGGUGUAGAUAUUGUCUAUAACAUAACUGUGGACACAAGUUUUCUGGGGGGAAAAAAAAAAGAAUUCAAAAUGCUAAGUCGAAAUGUCUCCUCUACUCCAAAAGGAGAAAUUACCAUGUGCUGGUGCGGUGCCCUGAAAACAGGCUCUUAAAGUUGAAUGUGCUACAGUGAAAACCCUAAGACGGAGCAGAAUGGAGUGAUAGGUGUGAGAGGAUCCCUGAUCAAUCUCUUCUUGACCUCUCCUUCAUCCCAAUGUUCCUAGGAUUAAGAAUCCGACAUCAUCAUUUGAUUUAGUUGUUGUUUUGUUGUGUUUUGUUGUUUUUGUUUUUGUUUUUUUUCCGAGACAGGGUUUCUCUGUGUAACAGCCCCGGCUAUCCUGGAACUCACUCUGUAGACCAGGCUAGUCUCGAACUCACAGAGAUCCAGCUGCCUUUGCCUCCCUAGUGCUGGGAUUAAAGGUGUGUGCUACCACUGCCUGGCUGAUUUAGGUUUCUAAAGAAUUGACAUAGACAUCGGGAUAGGUGAUGGAGGAGAAGUCUGUAAAAUUGUUAACAAACUGCGCCCCUGAGGUCCAAAACAACUGUAUGCAACUCUAUGUUUCCAAUGCAUUCUCCAUAUAAAUGCUUCUCCCAUUGAUUCUAUGAUAUGCUCGGCUUUAAGCACACUCUUCCCAAGUAAAAUUUGCAAAGAAUUCUCUUCCCAUAUUGGAAUGGCCCAGCUACUUUUACAUGAUUGCAGUUUGCUCUCCAUUCCGUGUGAGCAUAAACACAUAAAAUAUUUAUACAUCCCUCCCAAUCUAUAGAAAAGUCACUUUGGGAACUUGAAAACAGACCCUUUACAGACGGAGAGGAUAUGAGAGAAAAGCCCUCAGUGUGCUGGCUCCAAACGGCAAUGUCUGCCCAGCACUGUGCCUCCUCUCAUAACAGGAUGCGCUGUUGAAAGGGCCCUUGUGUGUCAAGAUUCAGAACGUUCUUGUUUGCUCCAGGCGAACAAAGCUCUCACAGACAGAGGGAUCUGCAGGGCAACCGCCAAGUGUAUUAAACCAACGUUCCCUCCGCCACACUGCGAAUGGUUUGUCGUCAUGGUAGUUCACACCUUGAUGUAUAGAGGCUGGUGUGCUGUUUGCGCAGCCGUCCUGCACAGAGCCCCCCUCAGACUUCAAAGACAGUGACAUAGAACAGAACCCCAAGGUGUAAGGAGAAGCAAGCAGUAUCUCCUCAGAACCAGGCCAGUUUGGGGGUUUGUUUGUUUGUUAUGUUUUGUUUUUCAUUCUCUCAGUAGACAUGACUAAAUUUAUAUGCCAAAUAGCUAAAGACAACCUUUCACUUCAACAGUUUAUGAAUUGUCAGAUAUGUGAAUUUCUAUCAGGAAAAUAGAUAUUGAACUGUUUUUGUUGUUUUGCUUUUUUUGGUUGUUGUUGUUAUGCAGGAGGGCUGUAGUAUAAAGAGGUUUGUAGUAUAAAGAAACCCAUCCCAAACCUAAGCCCAAGGUUUUCUUGGCUCUAUAAGCCCCCAAAAGGCUGAAGUAACUUUAGACAAGCUUAAUAAUUCUGUAUACUGAAGGCUACCUUGAUGCAAACUCUAAGAGAAGGGAAAGAGAAGGGAGAGGAGAAAGAAGGGGGAAAAAAUGAAAGCAUAAGUGUAUAUUAAAUCUCUAGAUAGUGAGGCCUAUCUAAGCUGAAAAGCAAGAGGAAAUCACUAAUGAUUAGUAGAUUCAACUACCAAAAAUUUAAUAUUCCAACAUAUGCAAAAUCAAAACUAAUACAAAUCUAAGUGGGAAAUAAAAAGUUGUGGCAAUUUUGGAAGGCAUAAGAAUAAUAUUCCUAAUAUAUUAGAAAUUUCUGCACAUUGGCUAAAAGUAAAGCAAAAUAAGUUCCAGAUGAAUGGAGUUAAAAGUAAAACUGCUUAGCAAAAGUAAAGUAGAAGUGACUAUCUAGCCUGUGGAUGAGAAGUAGGAUCUACAGGUCAACUACCUGCAGGAAGCCUAAAAUCAUAUAGAAAUUAUAAAGAAAUAUAUUGACAUUUAACCAUAUGCAACUUAAUUUCAAAAAUAAAAAUAUACAGCCGGGUGGUGGUGGCAGCACACACCUUUAAUCCCAGCACUCGGGAGGCAGAGGCAGGUGGAUCUCUGUGAGUUAGAGGCCAGCCUAGUCUACAAAGCUACACAGAGAAACCCUGUCUUGAAAAACCAAAACAACAACAACAAAAAUAAUACAAUUAGAGCCUUAGGUACAGCCCUGUCAUAAACAUAUGCUUAGAAUUUAAAAUUUUCAGUUCUGGUUUUGAGUACUGAUAUACUAAUAAGGAAAAAAUGAAAAUAUUUUAAAUUAACUUGGAAAAUAUUUGCAACAAGAAAUUCCUUUAAAUUUACAAAGAACUCAAUAAAAUUGUCUUUUUUAAUAACACGAA